UCCUCCGGCCAAGUGCUGAGCACUCAUACUUCACAUAGGGCCACCUUUACUGGGCCAGGGUCAGGGCACACCUAGCACCAAAUGGGCCCGUCGGCCUGGUCAUGGGGGAAAAAGUAGGCAGGAAGAGGAUCCAAGAAGUUUACCAGGCAACCCUGGGCCCGAAAUUCUGUCUCCCUUUCCUGGGACAUGAUGCCAAGUUGACCUUGGCCUUCAGUGUGCCCAAGAUCACCUUCACACCAGAGGGGUUGCAUUGCCUCCUCUCCUUGCCCAAGAAUGAAAGAUGAGUCCCUCAAAGCCUGGAAAUGGCUUGGCAGGGGAGCCAAGGCUGAGGAAGGAGCAGAGGGUACCAACCAGAGGCACCUGGCCAUGGGGGACAGGGGACCCCAGAGCGCAAGGACAUUAUUUUCAUUUGCUGCUUAGCCAUUUUACUUCUCUCUUCUCCUUUUUCCCUCUUCAUAUCUGCCCAAAUUCUACACUCCAAGAAACUUUCAGCAGCUUCCCUGAAAUAAACCAUAGUAUUGCGGCACUGAAGAGCUGGCUGGGCCUACAUCAAGUUGGUGUGAAAUCGCCUUGUUCAUUUUAUUAAGAAACUUCCUCUCUUGCCACCUGCCUGCUUGGAGGCCUUAACUGUUUUUUGGUUUUUGUUUUUCAUUUUUUUGAGACGGAGUCUCGCUCUGUCACCCAGGCUGGAGUGCAGUGCUGCAAUUUGGGCUCACUGCAACCUCCACCUCCCGGGCUCAGGCAAUUCUCCCGCCUCAGCCUCCCGAGUAGCUGGGAUUACAGAUGUUCACCACCACGCUUGGCUAAUUUUUGUAUUUUUAGUAGAGACGGAAUUUCACUAUGUUGGCCAGGCUGGUGUCGAACUCCUGACCUCAAGUGAUCCACCUGCUUUGGCCUCCCGAAAUGCUGGGAUUACGGGCAUCAGCCACUGUGCCCGGCCUGUUUUUCUAUCCAACACGGAUAGAGUACAGCCUCCCUGCCCCCUUCCUCCCCAAAGUAGGCUCAGUUUAAAUAUAUACAUGAAAACAAAUAAAAUUCAAAGAAAAGCAAGGUUAUGGGGUGGCAAGCAGUAUGAUCCAAUGGAAGCUCCCCGUCUCUGCAUGUGAGCCCUCGCACUGAGAACGCGAUCAGGCUGAUGAGGAAACCAAGACACAGAGAGAGAACACGACUUGCCUGAGGUCACACAAGAAGGAGAGCAAGGGCCAGAGGAUUGAGUGAUUUCACCCAGCCAGCCGCUGAGUGGCUGGGAUUCAAACUCAUGGCCAUGACUCCAUGCCUGAGGUUUGACACUGGAGUCAGCCACACCUGCCUCUAACCAGGAGAUCCUUGAGGGCAUCCCUCAAGAAUCCUGAUAUGUUUCCAUAUCAACCCCCUGUGGCACAUAGUAUUUUCUAAAGACAAUCAUCACAGUAUCUUCCAUCCCACAUGAUCUUCCUACUAUGUGACGGUGACACCCCUCUGUGACUACAACAGAAGUGACAUUAUAUGACUCCCAAGGCAAGGGCCUGAAACAGAUGAUAACGCUUCCACUUGCCUCUCUUGAAAUGCUCACUCAUGGAACCCUGUGCCAUGCCACUAGGAAGCCCAGGCUACAAGGAAUGGUCUCAGGUAGGUGUUCCAGCUGACAAUUGCAGCUGAGGUUCCAGCUGACAGCCAGCGUCCAGUGCCAGCCAUAUGUUCAAGAAAGACUUCUAGACAAUUUCAACCACCACCAUGAUCUGACUGCAACUGUAUGGGAAACGCUGUGCAAGACCUGCCCUCGAUGAGCCCUGAAGACCCCGGAAGUGUGAGGGAUAAGUUUUGGGGUGAUCUGCGAUGCGACAUAAAUAACUGGAACACCCUCCCUCCCCCAGUUCUCACACACCUCUGGCCCAGCCAGAUCCCUGAACAGCUGGUGCUCCUUCAAUGUGUCUUUCAUUCACAAGCACACUGACAUGCACGGGCAAACCUGGGUAUUCUGAUCCAUUUGUCCAAACAGCCUGGACUGUGAAAAUAAACACCCAGAUGGCAGGUGUUGACACACAUACCCUGACAUGGGUCUAUUUCGGGGACUUCAGGCCUCCCACUGUGCACUGAGAGGUCUCCACCUGGGCAGGGAAAGACUUUGCCGUUUAACAUUUUGCAGUCUUGUGUUGGGUGUGGAAUGAGGAUAAAGCAUGUAGAAUCAA